UACAGAGGGUGCAAGCGUUAAUCGGAAUUACUGGGCGUAAAGCGUGCGCAGACGGUUGCGUAAGUCAGAUGUGAAAGCCCCGGGCUCAACCUGGGAAUUGCAUUUGAGACUGCGUAGCUAGGGUGCGGAAGAGGGAAGCGGAAUUUCCGGUGUAGCGGUGGAAAUGCGUAGAUAUCGGAAGGAACACCAGUGGCGAAAGCGGCUUCCUGGUCCAGCACCGACGUCAGGCACGAAAGCGUGGGGAGCAAACAGG
rnacentral:rRNA from 1 species